rnacentral:lncRNA from 1 species
UUCUUACCCACUCCUUUCAUUUAAAAAAAAAAUUGAAAUGAAAAAGCAGCAUACGCACCAUUGACAGAUUUCCAUAUAAAAGCAACAGUGAGGAGAUAAAUUGUCUUGAAAUUCCAGACGGUAACCAUUAUUCCUACACUGGCAGAGUGGAGAUCCACAGAGAUGUGACCCUUGCUCUCUGUGAUCCUCUUCCAAAGGCACCUCUUUCUUCACUACCUGCUCCAGAGGGCAAACCAGACAUUUUCACUCUUUUUGUGUGGGGUUUACUGAGGGCUGGUCCCGUUCCGUUCCUGUCACUCACAUGACACUUUCAUUUCUACAAGGACAGGGGUGCAAAAUGUUAGAGCAAGGUGCACUUCAGUGCUGUUGACCGGAAGGCUUAGAUUUCAGUUGUCUAAAAUAUAUUUUGACAGUUGAAAUACUAGGUGAGGUAAAGUAUCAGAAAAUCAGAUGGAACAGGUGGCAGUUACUGCAGCAUCUUCCUAUGCUGAAUGUAAAGGUGGAAUACGUUAUGCAGAACCAAGCACGUGGGGAUGGCUGGACCCAUGUGCAGGAUCGUUCGUCAGUUGCAGAGGUCAGUGCUACAGCAGAUGGCAUUGACAUUGGAGAACUUCUGGUACUUCUGACAAAUGGACAUCAUCAUGCACUGCCAGAAAAAUGCAUAUGUUGCUGUAAAAACACAAGACAGAGAAAAGAUAAGUCAAUACCUCAGUUAAAAGCUGGAAUUCCUGUUAGUAAUGGUAUCGUUAAUACACCAGGAAGUAUGGAACAAAAGAUGGGAAGAUUUUGAAUGAAAUGGUGUGCAAGGGAGGUGUACGAGAUACAACAGAAACGUGAGAAACCUACAUGAAACUCUUGGUCUACAGUGGAACAGAAGCAACAUUGCAAGGGUUUGCAGGUAAAGGGCCUCUAAAUUACCCCCCAAAAGUCACUUUCUGUUGUACCCUUGAGCAUGAUAUCUUACUAUAUAACUGAACUAAUUGAUGAAUUCACAGGUAUUAGACACAUUCAAGAAAGGAGCUAAACAACUAUAACAAUUACCAUGAAUUCUGGGAGAUGCACAGCAAAUCAACUCAUCAAGAGAAAAAGCCAGCAAGAAGACAAAACUGUAGAGAAGAGCUUUCAUAAUUCUGGACAACAGGAUGUUCCAAUUCAAUCAAUAAAGAUCAAUAAAACAAUAAAACA